GGGCCCGUAGCUCAGCCAGGCAGAGCGGCGGGCUCCAGAUCCAAACUAUGGGUCAGACGACCCCUCGGGGGAUGAGUUAGAUCUGGAGGGAGUGACCCGUAGGUCGGGGGUUCAAAUCCCCCCGGGCCCA
rnacentral:tRNA from 1 species